rnacentral:rRNA from 1 species
UACGUAGGGGGCAAGCGUUGUCCGGAUUUAUUGGGCGUAAAGAGCGUGUAGGCGGUCCGGUAAGUCCGCUGUGAAAGUCGGGGGCUCAACCCUCGAAUGCCGGUGGAUACUGUCGGGCUAGAGUGCGGAAGAGGCGAGUGGAACUCCUGGUGUAGCGGUGGAAUGCGCAGAUAUCAGGAAGAACACCAACGGCGAAGGCAGCUCGCUGGGACGGUACUGACGCUGAGACGCGAAAGCGUGGGGAGCGAACAGG